rnacentral:lncRNA from 1 species
AGGGGCAAAGCUUACCUCUAAGCUUGCUCUUUUCUUGCACUAGAGAGGAAGAAGAUGAAGUUGCUCUACUCCUUCUUCUUCUUCUCCACUUUCUUCUCCUUCUUUUCCUUCUUUUCCUUUGUCUUCUUCUCCUCCUUCUUUGUCUUCUAGAGAGAGGAAGAGAGGAGAGAGUGUGAGAGGGAGUGAAAUGAGAGGAAGGCCCUCAUAUCCCUCCUACAUAACUAUUGGAUUGCAAAAAUGCUAAUAAACCCCUCAACUUUCACUUUAAUACACUGCCUGGACUGGGCAGUUCGCGCAGGCGGGGACCGGUCUCUCCUUCAGGGACCGGUUCCCGAAGGUCGUCCCAGCGCAGCCAGAGCUGCCGCGCGCAGUGCAACCGGUCUCUCUCUGGGGGACCGGUCUCUCGGGGACCGGUCUCUCAGACAGGGACCGGUUCCCGAGAGCUGGUUUCUCAGGACUUAGCCGAUUUUUCGGCUGUCUCAUUCCUCACGCGUUCGGGGACCGGUCUCUCCCUCCAGGGACCGGUCCCCGAGAGCUCAAAAUCUGCAGUUUUGCAGAAUUUGAUCCUUUAGCUCUCGAAAACCUCCCGUAACUCACUUUUGAUCAUGUUAACACCUUC